AAUCAACGCUGGCGGCGUGCCUAAUACAUGCAAGUCGAACGCGAAAGUCCCGCAAGGGAUGAGUAGAGUGGCAAACGGGUGAGUAACGCGUGGGUGACCUGCCUUCGAGUGGGGGAUAACGUUUCGAAAGGAACGCUAAUACCGCAUGACAUCCUGCCUUUUAAGAGGCGGAGAUCAAAGCUGGGGAUCGCAAGACCUAGCGCUUGAAGAGGGGCCCGCGUCCGAUUAGCUAGUUGGUGGGGUAAUGGCUCACCAAGGCAUCGAUCGGUAACCGGCCUGAGAGGGCGGACGGUCACACUGGGACUGAGACACGGCCCAGACUCCUACGGGAGGCAGCAGGUGGGGAAUCUUGCGCAAGUGGGACGAAAGCCUGACGCAGCGACGCCGCGU
rnacentral:rRNA from 1 species